rnacentral:rRNA from 1 species
AACGUAGGUUCCGAGCGUUAUCCGGAUUUACUGGGCGUAAAGCGCGUUCAGGCGGUUUGGCAAGUCGGGCAUGAAAUCUCUCGGCUCAACCGGGAGAGGUUGUCCGAUACUGCUGGACUUGAGGGCAGUAGAGGGUGGUGGAAUUCCGGGUGUAGUGGUGAAAUGCGUAGAUAUCCGGAGGAACACCAGUGGCGAAAGCGGCCACCUGGACUGUACCUGACGCUAGCACGCGAAAGCUAGGGGAGCGAACGGG